rnacentral:rRNA from 1 species
GAUGAACGCUGGCGGCGUGCCUAAUACAUGCAAGUCGAGCGAACGGACGAGAAGCUUGCUUCUCUGAUGUUAGCGGCGGACGGGUGAGUAACACGUGGAUAACCUACCUAUAAGACUGGGAUAACUUCGGGAAACCGGAGCUAAUACCGGAUAAUAUUUUGAACCGCAUGGUUCAAAAGUGAAAGACGGUCUUUCUGUCACUUAUAGAUGGAUCCGCGCUGCAUUAGCUAGUUGGUAAGGUAACGGCUUACCAAGGCAACGAUGCAUAGCCGACCUGAGAGGGUGAUCGGCCACACGGGAACUGAGACACGGUCCAGACUCCUACGGGAGGCAGCAGUAGGGAAUCUUCCGCAAUGGGCGAAAGCCUGACGGAGCAACGCCGCGUGAGUGAUGAAGGUCUUCGGAUCGUAAAACUCUGUUAUUAGGGAAGAACAGAUGUGUAAGUAACUGUGCACAUCUUGACGGUACCUAAUCAGAAAGCCACGGCUAACUACGUG